rnacentral:miRNA from 1 species
CCUCAUUGAUUGGAAGGAAUUUCUUCCAAUUGAUGAGGUGUAACAGCCUCAUCAACUGGAAGGAAUCCCUUCCAGUUGUUAUACCUCAUCAACCGGAAGGAACCCCUUCUGGUUGAUGAGGUUUUUGUCUCUCAUUGACCAGAAGGAUUUCCUUCCGGUCAUGUGG